rnacentral:rRNA from 1 species
UAGCAGAGGGUGCGAGCGUUAAUCGGAAUUACUGGGCGUAAAGCGCACGUAGGCGGCUUGGUAUGUCGGGUGUGAAAUCCCCGGGCUCAACCUGGGAACUGCAUCCGAAACUGCCUUGCUAGAGUAUGGGAGAGGGAAGUGGAAUUUCCGGUGUAGCGGUGAAAUGCGUAGAUAUCGGAAGGAACAUCAGUGGCGAAGGCGACUUCCUGGACCAAUACUGACGCUCAGGUGCGAAAAGCGUGGGGAGCAAACAGG